GCAUUAAUGGGGUAGUGGUAACCUGGGUCGUUGCCAUUAGCCAGUUUGUCGACCCGCCGAGGGUUCGAUUCCCUCUUAAUGCA